GUCGCCUUGUGGGUGUCCCGUGAGGUGUGGCGGCGUGGAAGGCGUGCAGGGCGUGUGUAGGCGUGGCGUGGCGUGUGUUAGUGUUGCCACUCACGGGACGCCGCGGAAACACUCGGGGCAACAGGGACUUGGCGUCACAGCACCUAUCAGCGAACAGCAGCAGCAGCAGCAGCAGCAGCAGCAGCAGUGUCGGGCGUGAAGAGGCGCACCUUCACAACAGACUCCCAGGCACGCCCCAACCCACGCCGCCACGCUGCGUGGCAUGGGCUUGGGCGCAUUUGUAUUACUCUCCAUCCCUGGCCGGUUACUGCUGCUCCGGAAAUAAGUAGCAUGUAAAGAAACUAACAAGAAAUGAUAAAUAAAUAAAUCUCACUUUUCAUGA